GAUGAAUGCUGGCGGCGUGCCUAACACAUGCAAGUCGAGCGGCAGCGCGAGAAGUUUACUUCUUGGCGGCGAGCGGCGGACGGCUGAGUAACGCGUGGGAACGUGCCCCAAAGUGAGGAAUAAGCUCCAGAAAUGGAGUCUAAUGCCGCAUAUGAUCUUCGGAUUAAAGGAUUUAUCCGCUUUGGGAGCGGCCCGCGUCGGAUUAGGUAGUUGGUGAGGUAAUGGCUCACCAAGCCGACGAUCCGUAGCUGGUCUGAGAGGAUGAUCAGCCAGACUGGAACUGAGACACGGUCCAGACUCCUACGGGAGGCAGCAGUGAGGAAUCUUCCACAAUGGGCGAAAGCCUGAUGGAGCAACGCCGCGUGCAGGAUGAAGGCCUUCGGGUCGUAAACUGCUUUUAUAAGUGAAGAAUAUGACGGUAACUUAUGAAUAAGCACCGGCUAACUACGUGC
rnacentral:rRNA from 1 species